rnacentral:rRNA from 1 species
GACGAACGCUGGCGGCGUGCCUAAUACAUGCAAGUAGAGCGCUGAAGGAGGAGCUUGCUUCUCUGGAUGAGUUGCGAACGGGUGAGUAACGCGUAGGUAACCUGCCUGGUAGCGGGGGAUAACUAUUGGAAACGAUAGCUAAUACCGCAUAAGAGUAGAUGUUGCAUGACAUUUGCUUAAAAGGUGCAAUUGCAUCACUACCAGAUGGACCUGCGUUGUAUUAGCUAGUUGGUGGGGUAACGGCUCACCAAGGCGACGAUACAUAGCCGACCUGAGAGGGUGAUCGGCCACACUGGGACUGAGACACGGCCCAGACUCCCACGGGAGGCAGCAGUAGGGAAUCUUCGGCAAUGGACGGAAGUCUGACCGAGCAACGCCGCGUGAGUGAAGAAGGUUUUCGGAUCGGAAAGCUCUGUUGUAAGAGAAGAACGAGUGUGAGAGUGGAAAGUUCACACUGUGACGGUAUCUGACCAGAAAGGGACGGCUAACUACGUG